rnacentral:rRNA from 1 species
UACGUGGGGUGCAAGCGUUAAUCGGAAUUACUGGGCGUAAAGCGUGCGCAGGCGGUUUUGUAAGUCUGUCGUGAAAGCCCCGGGCUCAACCUGGGAAUUGCGAUGGAGACUGCAAGGCUAGAAUCUGGCAGAGGGGGGUAGAAUUCCACGUGUGAGCAGUGAAAUGCGUAGAGAUGUGGAGGAACACCGAUGGCGAAGGCAGCCCCCUGGGUCAAGAUUGACGCUCAUGCACGAAAGCGUGGGGAGCAAACAGG